UGAAAUUCCACCCAAAAAAUGAAAAUGAAAAGGAUAAAUUUACUUUCACCCAUUUUUUGAAUAGAAAAUAUAGUGAAAUAUUUAUCGAUCAAAUAUGAUGAUACCACUGUGAGGAGAAAAGGGAUUGUUUAAAGACACAUACAUACAACGUAAAAAUGACCAUAUAUUCUCAUUUUGUCAUAACGUAUGAACUACAAAAUAUCCAAUUUAUCAUAACCGUAAAAUAUCUAAUUUUUCAUAACUGUAUGAACUACAAAAACAUCUAAACUUACAUUUCCAUCUAUAAACCUCUCCAAACUAAGUAAAAAAUAGAGUAAAAUAUACACUCCCCUCCCCUCUUAUUCAAAACAUAUUAGAAAAUAUUUCACUCCCCUCUCUUGAGAGAAGCUUGAAUUACAUUCCUCUCCCAUCUUAAGUUAAAAUCUACGUUUUAGUCCCUCAAUAAUUUUUUUUAUUUUCAAUAAUCUAGCACACUAAAGAAAAGUAACACUGCGAGUUCAUUUUAAUAUAAUCAAAUUUUGAAUACAUAUUUUUCUCUAUUUUUUAUUUACAAUUCAUUAACAUAUAGUUUUAAACUCUGUUAUAAAAUAUGAAACAACUCAAAAUAAAAUUAAAAUAUGUGAAAAUUACUGAAAUCGAUUAAGUAUAGUUAUUUAAAAGUGAAUUUUGUACUCUAAAUUAUAAAAUUGAUUACAAAAUAUUUAAAUUUAAUUGUCAUUGACAUUUAGAUUAUAAAGAAACGAAUUUAUAUUUUUUAAAUGGUGAUUCAAAAUUAAUAUAUAUUAUAAAAAUAUUUAUUUAUGUUAAAAUAGAUUAAAGUGUAUUCCCUAUUUAAUUAUUAAGGGAGGAGGUUGUAAUUCAAGCAUCUAAAACUUUUGAAAAAAGAAGUCAUUAUUAUUUUUUAGAGUAAAUUACACUCUCCUCCCUUCAAAGAUGCUUGAAUUACACUCCCCUCCCCUCUUAUGUUAAAAUAUACACUCCCUUCCC
rnacentral:lncRNA from 1 species